CAGAGGCUGAGAUAACAACAGAUCUGACCAGAGCAUCGUAAAACAAACUCUCUAUAAGCCUUCAUUCUAUUAGUUUAAUCGCCUCUGGUCACAAUGUUGUUUUAUGUGUUCUCAGAAUUCUCACCACCAUCGUAUCCUGUCUGAAGUCCAAGGCUGCUGACAGCACGCCAACAGACAGACUGAAGGAAACGAAACGAGACGCUAGCUGAAGGUGCUGACAGCUCCAGGAGAUGAAUUUCACACAUAAGAUACUUUAGAGUGCAUGUAGCAGCCUCUGAUACAUUCAGCUUCUACUCAGUUUGUACCCAAGGGCUGGAAGCUCAAAGGAGCCAGGAAGAGUCUUUCCUCUGACUUUGACAGAUUAUCCAACCACUUCUGGAGACUCCCUUCAGGUUAUCGCCUGACCUAAAACAGCCACAUCUUACAAGACCACUAAGCAUAUAUAAGCAUAUUGAGAAGAGGAGGCUGAGGGGAGACCUUAUUGCUCUCUACUACUACCUGAAAGGAAGAUGUAGAUAGGAGGGUGCUGGCCUCUUCCUCCAAGUGACAGGGGACAGGACAAGGGGGAAUGGCCUCAAGCUGCGCCAGGGGAGGGUCAGACUGGACAUCAGGGAAAAAAAUUUCACAGAAAGGGUCAUUGGGCACUGGCAGAGGCUGUCCAGGGAGGGGGUGGAGUCCCCAUCCCUGGAGAUAUUUAAAAGUUGGGUAGACGAGGUGCUCGGUGAUAUGGUUUAGUGGCAGAUCAGAAUGGUUGGAUUCCAUGAUGUAAGAGGUCUUUCCCAACCUAGUGAUUAUAUGAUUCUGUAUCAAUAAACUCUCACAGCCCUUGGACAGGUUAUCUCUUGACCUUAAACAGCUACAGAGAAUCAUAGAAUAGUUUGGGUUGGAAGGGAACUCAAAGAUCAUUCAGUUCUAACCUCCCUGCCCUGGGCAGGGACACCUCCCACUUGCUCAAAGCUCCAUCCAACCUGGCCUUGAAUGCCUCCAGGGAUGGGGCAGCCAAAACAUCCCUGGGCAACCUGGGCCAGUGCCUCACCACCCUCAUGGUGAAUAAAUUCUUCCUUAUGUCUAGCUUAAAUCUGCUUCUCUCCAGUUUAUACCCAUUACCCCUCAUCCUAUCACUACAAGCUUUUAUGAACAGUCCCUCUCCAGCUUUCCUUGAGCGCCUUUCAGGUACUGGAAGGUCACUAUAAGAUCUCCUCGGAGCAUUCUCUUCUCCAGGCUGAACAAGAGCUGAACAACAUCUUACAAGCCUCGUUCCUCGGGAGGAAAGACCAGCACAGCGCUGACUUCACCCUCCUUUUAAGGAGCAGCACAAAGCGAUGAGUUCCUUGGUAAGCAGCCACCUUCCGUCACACUCUGGUGUCAACACUUCCACGAUGGCAGAACAACUUCACCUGAUGAACAAAGGAAGUUCCAUGGAAGGCGUAACUGAUAGAGGGAACCUGCCAUUGACGGCUGCAGCUGAUAAAGGAAAUGCUGUGUCACGUUUUCAUGGAUCAAAUCAGAAGCAGAAGAAAUUGCAGUGUUCCUCUAAGAAUGUUUUCUCUGUUGGCUAUGAUGAAAGUCUCUUUAGUUCAUUAGUACCACCCUCUCUAACGAGGACUUGUCAUCACUGUGGUCUUUUUGGAUUCCUCAGAUGUUCACAAUGCAAGCAAGUGUACUAUUGUUCUGCAGAUUGUCAGAAGAAAGAUUGGCGAGCACAUAGUGUUGUAUGUGAGCCAGUUAAACAGAAUGUAAGUAAUAACAAUGGAGACAAACUACCUACUGAAACUGAGAAAAGAGUUUAUGUGAAGGGUGAUUCAGCUUCUGUGGAUUCUCUCAAGACAGAAGAGCACAAGAAAGUAAUGCUUUCAGAUCUCCAGAGUCUAGGGAUCAAAAAAGCUAUGGAAGUACAGGGCACAGUAACAGAGUUCAAGAGUCCAAGGGAAUUUUAUAUGCAGAUGAAUUCUCCAGAAGUUGUAGACCACUUCAGUAAACUUUCUGUGAAACUGCAAGACUGUUAUGCUAAUGCUGUUAUUAAAGAGCAAUAUGUUGCUAUCAAAGGGGAAGUCUGCAUUGCAAAGUGUUCUUCGGAUCAGACCUGGAACAGAGCACUGGUAAAAGACGUGGAUGUAUUGCAAAAGAAAGCACGAGUAUUCUAUAUAGAUUAUGGAAAUGAAGAAAAUAUUCCACUGUCCUGCAUUAAAGCUCUGCACAAAGACACUGAGCUGUUGUUUCCUCCAUGUGCCAUUAAGUGUUCCUUUGCUAAUUAUGAUCAAAAAAAAAAGGGAUGGAAUGAAGGCACCACCAGCUUUUCUUCCCAGCUCAUGGGAGAGCAAUGUUCAGUAAUUGUUGUUGACGUAUUACAGGAGGAAACGAUGCCGAGUUUUGCUGUAGAUGUUAUUCAUCCAAAUUUUGGCAACUGUCUAGAUAAAGUACCUUCAGAAAUGGGGUCUGAUUUAACUCCACGAAGUAAUGCCAAAGGACCAUGUUCUUCAGGAGCGUCAGAGAACCAUUCUAAGGGAGGUAAAGAAGAAAUUGCUCAAGAUGAAGACUUUCUUCGCUGUGCUAAUUCAGUUGCAGAGUGUGUCUCUGUACUUGUCGGAGACACAUUUUCUGGUGUGGUUCCGUCUGUUCAAAAUCCAGAAAACUUUUUCUGCCAGCGGAUGGACAGUGCCUGUCAACUUGCUGAGCUUCAAGCAUCUCUUAAAGCACACUGUGACAAAAUUCCCAGUAGUCCUGCUUUCCAUCCUGCUGCUGGAAACCUGUGCUGUGCCCAGUUCACAGAAGACAAUCUCUGGUACCGUGCUGCUGUUGUAGCAUACGUUUCUGAAGAUAAUGUUUUGGCAGGGUAUAUAGAUUAUGGUAAUUUUGAAGUUCUUCCAGUAACAAGACUGCGUCCUAUGAUUCCAAGAUUAAUGGACUUGCCAGCUCAAGCCAUAAGAUGUACCUUGGCAGGUGUAAAGCCGCCAUCAGAAGCCUGGACCUCAGAAGCUGUUUCUCUAAUGAAACGACUGGUGAAAGACAAAGUAUUCACAGUAAAAGUAGUGGAUAAGGAGAGUUACAGACUUGUGGUGGAGCUUAUAGAUGCAUCGGUUACUCCAGUAAUGAAUGUAUCGAACUAUCUCAUAGAGAAAGGCUGCGCAGUAGAGGAGUCAGGGAUGGCCUUGCCCGCAGUUGGGAUGAAUGAUGUUAAACAAGCAGAAGAGGACACAGCGAACAAAAAAAUUUUCAAGUGGAGUAAAUUAACUCUUAAACAAACAGUAGAUGUGGUAGUGUGCACAGUGUAUAGUCCUGGAGAAUUCUACUGUCAGAUGGUUCCAAAUGACAAUGAGUUAUUUGCUCUAAACUCACUUAACAAGUCAUUGUCUGAAUACUGUCAGAAUACUCCACCAAAUAUUUUUAAGCCGAAGCAUGGAGAAACUUGCUGUGCUUUUUUUCCUGAUGAUGGUAACUGGUACCGUGCUUUGGUGCGAAACAUGACUUCAAGUGGAACUGUUAAAGUAUUCUUUGUGGACUAUGGAAAUGUUGAGGAAGUACCACUGGAUAAAAUACGGCAGAUCUCAUCCUCAUUCCUGAAACUCCCAUUUCAAGGAAUUAAAUGCUUUCUCUCAGGUGUAAAUCCAGGCAAUAACAAGUGGAUUCCAGAAGCUACAGCGAGAUUUCGUGAGCUCAUUGCAGGGAUAACGCUUCAAGCCAGAGUAAAUUCCCUUUCCAGAGAUGGGGCAGGUGUAGAGCUUGUUGACAAUUCCACAGGUCAUCCAAAAGUGAUCAAUGAGAUAUUAGCUUCUGAAAAAUUGGCUGUAAAGGAAGUUCUGCCAGAUAAAAAUAACUUUCCAAACAAAUCUGUUAAUAAAAAAGAAACCUCGCCUGGGCACUGGAAGUCGAUUGAAUUUACUGUGGGUGAAACCGUACACAUCUGUGUAACAGAAGUUGUAAGUCCAGACUUAUUUUACGCUGUACCAGCUGAAAGUAAAGAUCAAGAGAAGCUGGGUAGGCAGUUGAUUGAACUAGAAGACUAUUGUCAAUCUUGUGAGAAACAGCUCUUCAAACCAAAAGUGGGUGAAGCCUGUUGUGCAAGGUUUUCAGGUGAUGGCCGUUGGUACAGAGCUCUUGUUCUGAAAGCUUCUCGGUCUGUAGUGGAUGUGCUGUAUGCAGACUAUGGCAGCACAGAAACUUUACCACUUUCAAAGGUGCUGCCAAUAACCGAUUCCUACUUGAAGCUGCCUUUUCAGACAAUUAUAUGUUCGCUUGCAGGAAUAGAGAAAGCUGACUGGUCCUCAUCAUUACUUGACAGGUUGAAAGAAAUGCUAUUGAAUAAAUACGUCACAAUUACAGUGAAAGAGAUUAAUGGCAACGUUAAUUCAGUAAUAGUGGAGAAGCCUUGUGAAAAUGGCAGUGUGAAUGUAGUUGACAAACUGGUAAUGGAAGGUUUGGUCAAAUCUUGCAGGGCUGAAAGCUUACAUACUGAACAUCAAGGUACAUACAGAAGUGACUUUUUCUUCCAAAAAUAUCAGAAUUCCACACUCUAUCUGUUAAAUUAGCAUCGUCUGUGUGCAUGUUGCUCAUCCACUUGCUUUGUUUUUUUGUAGGCAGUGGAGGUGAGACCAAAUGCUGCUGCGCAGAAUUAAAAAUGCAACUUAAAAAGCAUGAACAGAUCCUGCUCUUCCUUUUAAACAAGUACGGCAAUCCAGACGGGUUCACUGAAAUGAAGAAACUGUUGGAGCACUAAGUCUAAUGUGCACUGUGUUCUUUCUGUGUAUACCAGGUUGUUGCUGUUCCUUUUGAGGAAGAGCAAACUUAUUCACCUUUUGUAGAAAUUCUGCUGUUUAAGUACCUGUAUUUAUCUGCAUUCUGUGAAAUAAUUCUGUAACUUGAAGGAUUUCAAAGCUGCAAGUUGAAGUUUCAGUUCUGGUUUUGGUUUCUAUCACUGUGUGCUGCUAUGCCUUUUUGCUUUUAUUUUGCUGUUGAAGGCACAUAACUUUAUGGCGUGGCCAUUGCCUUGUGAAUCUGUUCUGCACACUUAACAUUGGAAAUGAGUGUAAUUGUAACCCUGACUACAACUUCUGGUACCGUUUAUUUUACUUGAAAAACAGUAUCUUAUCUCUAUUAGUUGUCCUUCAACUUAAUUUCUAGUCUGAAAUUAGACUGAAAAUUGUUCUUCAUAAACUUGGUUUUGAUAUAAUAAAGGCUGAAUAUUUUCUUGGACUACACACAAAAAACAGUAAACACUUAAAAGCACACAUUUAUUAACAUUUAAAUAUUACUCUGUAUUAUCUAUCUGUGAGUAUAGUUUUGCAGUAGAUUAUAGUAAAGCUGUUAUGUCUGUAGUUACACUACCAGGUUUUUUAACCCACUGAGUUUUUUCACAUCAUAAUGGAAAAGCCCCAUAUGACAAAAAUCACAUUAUUAACGUAUUUUCAGUAUUUCUCUAAAACACAGUUGAUACCUGCUUGUCACUUCUGACUAAUCCAGUCAUGAUAUUACUAACAAAUGCCAAAUUUUUGUUGAUAGUGCACAGUAGACACUUGUUUAUUGAAACUACAGGGUCAGCUUUUUUGUGUACAUGAAGCAUAUGUUUUGCUUUUGGGCUUGAGAUUAAACUUGCGAAAUAUUUUUGUUGGACUUCAUGUUUUAUUACACUUAAAUGGCUUCAGGUUACUUUUUUGUUGCAUCCUAUUCUGGUAGUUUCUGUUAAUUAGAUGAAUAUUUGCACUUGGGUCUCUAAAGAUCUUUUUAUGCCCUCAGUUUUGAACCAAGGCUGUGGCUGUCUCAAGUGUCCUCUGACUUCUGUGUGACUUGCGCAAGCUAUUGACCGUGUACAAAGCAACUCGCUGAUGCAUUAAUGCUCCCACAGCUCUUUUUCAUUUUUCCAUGUACCACCAGUUGUACACUGCAUUUCAUAAGAUGAGUUUGACUCCAACAUUCAAAAGUAGCCCCUUUCUCUACUCUUCAGUAGCAGGAGAAAGGAAAAGUGAAGCUUUGCUUGUUCUACUUGGGCAACAAGCCCUGGCAAGGAGUGGUUGGUGUUUCACUUGGAAGUGAAUGUAUGGG